rnacentral:lncRNA from 1 species
CGGCGCUCGCGCACACUUGGACCGGGGUUUGAAUUCCGCCCAGCCUCAGACGGCUUCGGGAGAAGGAGGGCUGUACCAGGCGCAGUGAGUUCGCGGCGGGAGAGGACCAGGAGCUAGGGGAAGGGAGAGGGAGGCCCAGGAUGCUGCAUCUCAGUGCCAUGGAGGGCAGGUGUGCUGUGGAGGUGGAGGCCUGGCUGCCCAACACAGGAGUUCUGCCUUCUCAGAGCCCUGCUCCUACUUCAGAGAAGCUCUCCAAAAAGAAGGGAAGAAUACCAGUCAGGUCCCUGCCGGCCUGGAGCAUGAUGUGGAGACUUGAGGCACGGGAAGGCAAGUCCUCAGCCACCCGCCUGGCUCCCACACUGAGGGGUGCAGACCCCACCCCCGGAGUGAACACUGUCCCAUCUGCUGCUCUCUCCCCCUGCAGCUGCUCCCUUUGCUUUGGCUCCUCCUUGUACACCGUGGCUCCAGCUCUGCAGGGCCUUGGCUUUGUAGCCUUUCCUAGCAUUUCAGGAAAUGGGCACGGGUCGCAUCUCUGCGACCACAGCCCCUAG